rnacentral:rRNA from 1 species
AUUGAACGCUGGCGGCAUGCCUUACACGUGCAAGUCGAACGGCAGCAUAGGAGCUUGCUCCUGAUGGCGAGUGGCGAACGGGUGAGUAAUAUAUCGGAACGUGCCCUAGAGUGGGGGAUAACUAGUCGAAAGACUAGCUAAUACCGCAUACGAUCUACGGGUGAAAGUGGGGGAUCGCAAGACCUCAUGCUCCUGGAGCGGCCGAUAUCUGAUUAGCUAGUUGGUGGGGUAAAAGCCUACCAAGGCAACGAUCAGUAGCUGGUCUGAGAGGACGACCAGCCACACUGGGACUGAGAAACGGCCCAGACUCCUACGGGAGGCAGCAGUGGGGAAUUUUGGACAAUGGGGGCAACCCUGAUCCAGCAAUGCCGCGUGAGUGAAGAAGGCCUUCGGGUUGUAAAGCUCUUUUGUCAGGGAAGAAACGGUAGUAGCGAAUAACUAUUACUAAUGACGGUACCUGAAGAAUAAGCACCGGCUAACUACGUGCCAGCAGCCGCCGUAA